GCCCCUAUAGCUCAACGGAUAGAGCACGCGCCUUCUAAGCGUGUUAUCGAGGUUCGAUUCCUCGUGGGGGCA
rnacentral:tRNA from 1 species